AGAGAUGAUGUGGAAUAGAUAAAAUUCUAAUAACAUUAUAACAUUUUUUAAAAUCAAACAAGAAAAACCCUU
rnacentral:tRNA from 1 species